rnacentral:lncRNA from 1 species
CCUUUGGAGAAGAGACAGAAAGCUAUUGCAUCAUCGAGACACUUAGUAGAAUAAAUGUGUCAAUAGUCUGAGUCAGACUAAGGUCAGGGUCAGACCAGAGGUGGCAGCAGUCUGACCUCAUAGAGAGCCAAACAGAUCCUCAGUCCCUGUCUCCCAUGAUGCCCUUUCUAAUCCACCACUCUUUGGCCAAUGACCGUAUUAAGAAGACACUUGAUCUUCCCAUUAUCAACAUUUAAAUCCCUCGUCCAACUCAUGCCAAAUCACAAAUACUGUUAUUAUUCCAAAGACUUGCUCUCUGAGAUUCCACAGUGUGCAGAUAGUGACAAUGGAUAGGACACAUAUGACAUAACAGGUUUCAGCAACUCUCUGUCCUAUACCUUGCUGUUGCAGGGAGAGGACUGGCUGACACUGAUGCCUCCCCUCAGAAGACACCAGACCAGAUGAGAAGUUCACCCACACACUGUGAAUUGGAAAAUGUUCCAAAGGUCACAAGCAGAGAGACAGGCAGUUGUUCCAUCCAGAGAACUAAC